rnacentral:rRNA from 1 species
GCGUGAGUGAAGAAGGCCUUAGGGUUGUAAAACUCUUUCAGCGGGGAAGAUGAUGACGGUACCCGCAGAAGAAGCCCCGGCUAACUCCGUGCCAGCAGCCGCGGUAAUACGGAGGGGGCUAGCGUUGUUCGGAAUUACUGGGCGUAAAGGGCACGCAGGCGGUCUAGUGAGUUAGGCGUGAAAGCCCCGGGCUCAACCUGGGAAUUGCGCUUAAUACUGCUGGACUAGAGUCCGAGAGAGGGUGGUGGAACUCCCAGUGUAGAGGUGAAAUUCGU